UACAGAGGUCCCAAGCGUUGUUCGGAUUCAUUGGGCGUAAAGGGUGCGUAGGCGGCGCGGUAAGUCGGGUGUGAAAUCUCGGGGCUUAACUCCGAAACUGCAUUCGAUACUGCCGUGCUUGAGGACUGGAGAGGAGACUGGAAUUUACGGUGUAGCGGUGAAAUGCGUAGAUAUCGGGGGGAACACCAGUGGCGAAGGCGGCUCUCUGGGGUGCACCUGACGCUGAUGCGCGAAAGCGUGGGGAGCGAACCGG
rnacentral:rRNA from 1 species